GCGCACCAGUCGCGAAACCUCCGCAAUGCGGGCAACCGCGACGGGGGGACCCCCAGUGCCGUGGCAUCGCCACGGCUUUUCCGGAGUGUAAAAAGCUCCGGGAAUAAGGGCUGGGCAAGGCCGGUGGCAGCCGCCGCGGUAAUACCGGCGGCCCGAGUGGUGGCCGCUAUUAUUGGGCCUAAAGCGUCCGUAGCCGGGCCUGUAAGUCCCUGGCGAAAUCCCACGGCUCAACCGUGGGGCUUGCUGGGGAUACUGCAGGCCUUGGGACCGGGAGAGGCCGGGGGUACCCCUGGGGUAGGGGUGAAAUCCUAUAAUCCCAGGGGGACCGCCAGUGGCGAAGGCGCCCGGCUGGAACGGGUCCGACGGUGAGGGACGAAGGCCAGGGGAGCGAACCGGAUUAGAUACCCCUGUAGU
rnacentral:rRNA from 1 species